UACGGAGGGUGCAAGGCGUUAUCCGGAUUCACUGGGUUUAAAGGGUGCGUAGGAGGGCAGGUAAGUCAGUGGUGAAAUCUCCGAGCUUAACUUGGAACUGCCGUUGAUACUAUCUGUCUUGAAUAUUGUGGAGGUGAGCGGAAUAUGUCAUGUAGCGGUGAAAUGCUUAGAUAUGACAUAGAACACCAAUUGCGAAGGCAGCUCGCUAACACAUAUAUUGACUCUGAGGCACGAAAGCGUGGGGAUCAAACAGGA
rnacentral:rRNA from 1 species